rfam:Firmicutes bacterium CAG:176_59_8 Ley3_66761_scaffold_7287, whole genome shotgun sequence.
CACAGUGUAGAGAUGGUGCGUUAAGUGCCGGACGGAUGGGAGGCUGCCGCCGGACGAAGGAGCUUGCUCCGCGAUGCCAUUUCAGCUUCCACCGUG